AUUGAGCGCUGGCGGCAUGCUUUACACAUGCAAGUCGAACGGCAGCGCGGGCUUCGGCCUGGCGGCGAGUGGCGAACGGGUGAGUAAUACAUCGGAACGUGCCCAGUAGUGGGGGAUAGCUCGGCGAAAGCCGGAUUAAUACCGCAUACGACCUGAGGGUGAAAGCGGGGGAUCUUCGGACCUCGCGCUAUUGGAGCGGCCGAUGGCAGAUUAGCUAGUUGGUGGGGUAAAGGCCUACCAAGGCGACGAUCUGUAGCUGGUCUGAGAGGACGACCAGCCACACUGGGACUGAGACACGGCCCAGACUCCUACGGGAGGCAGCAGUGGGGAAUUUUGGACAAUGGGCGAAAGUCUGAUCCAGCAAUGCCGCGUGUGUGAUGAAGGCCUUCGGGUUGUAAAGCACUUUUGGCGGGAACGAAAAGGACUGUGCCAAUACCACGGUUCGAUGACGGUACCCGCAGAAUAAGCACCGGCUAACUACGUG
rnacentral:rRNA from 1 species